AUUGAACGCUGGCGGCAUGCCUUACACAUGCAAGUCGAACGGUAACGCGGGGCAACCUGGCGACGAGUGGCGAACGGGUGAGUAAUGUAUCGGAACGUGCCCAGUUGUGGGGGAUAACUGCUCGAAAGAGCAGCUAAUACCGCAUACGACCUGAGGGUGAAAGCGGGGGAUCGCAAGACCUCGCGCAAUUGGAGCGGCCGAUAUCAGAUUAGGUAGUUGGUGGGGUAAAGGCUCACCAAGCCAACGAUCUGUAGCUGGUCUGAGAGGACGACCAGCCACACUGGGACUGAGACACGGCCCAGACUCCUACGGGAGGCAGCAGUGGGGAAUUUUGGACAAUGGACGAAAGUCUGAUCCAGCCAUGCCGCGUGCGGGAAGAAGGCCUUCGGGUUGUAAACCGCUUUUGUCAGGGAAGAAACGCUCUGGGUUAAUACCUCGGGGUUAUGACGGUACCUGAAGAAUAAGCACCGGCUAACUACGUGCCAGCCGCCGCCGUAACAC
rnacentral:rRNA from 1 species